UGGGGAAUCUUGGACAAUGGGGGCAACCCUGAUCCAGCCAUGCCGCGUGGGUGAUGAAGGCCUUAGGGUCGUAAAGCCCCUUUCGCCGGGGAAGAUAAUGACGGUACCCGGUAAAGAAGCCCCGGCUAACUCCGUGCCAGCAGCCGCGGUAAUACGGAGGGGGCUAGCGUUGUUCGGAAUGACUGGGCGUAAAGCGCGCGUAGGCGGAUCGGAAAGUUGGGGGUGAAAUCCCGGGGGCUCAACCUCGGAAUGGCCUUCAAAACUCCCGGUCUUGAGUUCGAGAGAGGUGAGUGGAAAUUCCGAGUGUAGAGGUGAAAUUCGUAGAUAUUCGGAGGAACACCAGUGGCGAAGGCGGCUCACUGGCUCGACACUGACGCUGAGGUGCGAAAGCGUGGGGGAGCAAAACAGGAUUAGAUACCCUGGUAGUCCACGCCGUAAACGAUGAAUGCCAGACGUCGGGGGGCUUGCCCUUCGGUGUCACACCUAACGGAUUAAGCAUUCCGCCUGGGGGAGUACGGUCGCAAGAUU
rnacentral:rRNA from 1 species